GACGAACCGAGCGAACGUUGUUCGGAAUCACUGGGCUUAAAGGGCGCGUAGGCGGGCCGCCGCGUCCGGGGUGAAAUCCUCCCGCUCAACGGGAGAACGGCCUCGGAUACGGGCGGCCUGGAGGGGGGUAGGGGCGUGCGGAACUGUGGGUGGAGCGGUGAAAUGCGUUGAUAUCCACAGGAACUCCGGUGGCGAAGGCGGCACGCUGGACCCCACCUGACGCUGAGGUGCGAAAGCGUGGGGAGCGAUCCGG
rnacentral:rRNA from 1 species